CAGUCGCCGCGGUAAUACGUAGGUGGCAAGCGUUGUCCGGAAUUAUUGGGCGUAAAGCGCGCGCAGGCGGAUAGGUCAGUCUGUCUUAAAAGUUCGGGGCUUAACCCCGUGAUGGGAUGGAAACUGCCAAUCUAGAGUAUCGGAUAGGAAAGUGGAAUUCCUAGUGUAGCGGUGAAAUGCGUAGAUAUUAGGAAGAACACCAGUGGCGAAGGCGACUUUCUGGACGAAAACUGACGCUGAGGCGCGAAAGCCAGGGGAGCGAACGGGAUUAGAUACCCGCGUAGUCCCUGUCUCUUAUACA
rnacentral:rRNA from 1 species